CCAUCUUAAUGAAGUCAUGAUGGCUUCCCUUGGACAAAAACAAUUUCACGAGCUGGUAAUGAACCAAUCUUGUCUGCGGAAAUCUACCAGCAGAUAAAUUUUCCGGCAAAAAGUAGGUCAAGAAAGAACAAGCUUUAUGGUCAGAACCGGGAACAUCUGUGGCAAGAAUAGAUUUAAUGUCACUAAGUUUUAAAUCAUCACAAGGAUGGCCAUCCCAUUCGACUUUUAGCCAUUCACUAACUCUCAGCUGCGAAGAGCUCACCAGUAUUACCUGUGUAGAAGUAACACGAAUCAGGCUCCUUAGUAGGCUAGUAUACAUCUUCGUUUUUAAGUUUAAGUGUGAAGAAAGAUCAAAUACAAUGUGGUUUAGAAGGCAGGAUUACUGUUGAUGAAUAAACUUCACUCAGAGAACAAAAACAAGAUUAAACAAUUAAAUUACCUUUCCGAGCAAAAAGCGAGCAGCUUCAUUUCCAGCUCCCGAACAUUUAAUUAGUAGACUGUUAAGGUUCUGAUAUCGAUAAAAGUUCUUAAAUUCCAUCUCAAGGUCAAAGUUGACGAGCUUAAGGAUGUGCUCGUCUUCUGCAAACAAAAGAAACUGCCUGCAACUGCAACAAAAAAUGUACAAAGAUAAUUUAGGGACCUUGUGUAUGUAAAUAUGUACACGAAGGCUAAAUCAAUCUAAAAAAUUUGCAACUUCUCAGAAAUGCCUGCAUUUGAUUAAUAACAUAUUCACUAGAACGACGGUGAACAAAACAUCACAGAAUUGUAUUCAAAGUACAACUAAGAAGGUGGAGCAGCCUCAAUAUGCUACAAUUGUGUCUCGUGCAUAUUGCUCAAAACGAGAUUAAAGAAAUGUAAGCCCAACCAACAUUUUUUUACCAAGAAGGCAGAAGAAGCCACAUGUGUGGCUUGCUCAGCUAUGCUACCUACGUGAGCAUUGUCUGAAUUGUAAUUGACCUAUCAGGCCAUCACCCUUACAAAAAUGAUACAUCUCAAAAAAUGUGGUAGCCAACCAGAGGAUAUCGACUGGGAAGAGAGCCCACCCUAUUUGCUCAGCAGUAAAGGGUGGUCCAACCCCAAAUAUGUAUAAAUUCUUUUAUACUUAUAAAAUUUAUGAAUAGAGGAAACCCUUUAAUUCUUUGUCACAAGCUUUUCAAAAAUAUUGCUCAAUGCCUCCGUGACCCACAGAAAAAUUGAACAAACACAACUAGCACUAAGUAAUAAGCAAAAAAUUCUUAACGAACUCUAUUUGACUAACACAGAACUAAUCUAGUAAUGAAUAAGUAAUUAUUAAGGAUUAUAAUACCGAACUUUGUGUACCAGAAUUUCAUAAAAGUACUACCUUAUUCUAAUUCGUCAUUGUUAUGAAAUUAGGCAACCAAUCAGAAAUGUAGGAAAAAACAUUGAAAAAUGGCAUGAUAAGUGAAUAACGGCAAUGGUAAGUGGAGCUUUAUAACAGAUUCACAUAAUAUACAAAUAUUUUAGACUUGGAAGGCUUAGAAUGUAAUUGUCCUACAAGGAUAUGAUCCUUGCAAAUGCAUUCACAUAAUAUACAAAUACUUUAGACUUGGAAGGCUUAGAACGUAAUUGUCUUACACAGAUAUGAUCCUUGCAAAUGCAACCGCUCCGCCUGGUGACUGCACCAACAAAAGUAUAAUAUAAUACAGUAGCUCAUACGGCAGCUGUUCCAUUGUUGCCAUUUCCUAUGCAGUUCAAGCUGGAAGUAAAAAUGAUUCAUAAGACCUCACAUCACCACAUUAACAGAUGAAGAGCACUUGCAUUCAGAAACUAAUACAAAUAUUAUGGCAAUUUAUCGAAUAUCAAUCAUAAAAUCAUCACAUGAUUAGAAUCAAAAGCACAAGAUAUGGAUCAUGUAUUAAGGUAUAGCAUGCUCCCUUAAACACCAUAUUGAGGCACAUCAGUGUAUUCAAAAUCCACAAAUAACCAUAAAAAAAAAACUAAUGAAGUAUAGUGAACAUAUUCAAAGACAGCUCUACGAUUAAGAUUCUACAGUUUACAACAUAACAAACAAUAAGAGGAAAUAAAUGAGUGGAUUAAUUAUAAUUAAGUGAAAAAGGAAACAUACGUUGCAACAAAAAUUGAGGAUUUUUAUAAACAAAUAAAAAGAUACGAUCCCCAUUAUAUACAUAUAUGGCAAAACAGAGACGGUGAGACCACAUAUAAGCACAUCAAAGACGUUCUAUACUAUAUGAAUUUAUAAGAGACAUCACAUUCACUAUAAACUAAUUAAAAAGAAGAUGUUAAAGUUUUAGUGUGUUACCGAGAUUAGCCAAGGAAAUAUAGAAUUCGGAGCUUUCACAAUUGAAAAUGGACUCGAGAAAAGGGGAACAAUAGAAAUACACGAAGCUUGGUAACAAGUCAAGAAAUGGGCAAUCCAACCAACAAAUCUAGACUGUUGAUAAAUCAACGGAUAAGAUUUGUCAUACCCACAACGAAACAUUGCUGGCAAGUGAAAUUAUUAUAUUAGCCUUAUUUAAAUAUUUAAUAUUAAUAAUUUCAAUUUUAAUUAUUUUUAAUUAAUAAUUCAAAUUAUUUUUUUGAAAUUAAAUCUUAGGAAUAUCAUUUACUAAAAUAAGGAUACGAAAUACGAUUGGAUGAAUAUGUGUGCUUUUUUUUUCCCCAUGUAUUUUAAUUUUUAAAAUAAAUAAAAGGAAAGUAUUAUUCUUAUGUUUAGCCAACCACUAGUCAACAAUUUGACGGAAAUGAACAAAAUAAUGAUAAGCAAAAUGAAUCAUUAAAAUUGAUCGUUGAGAGAUGAAUAAAAAUUCAGUGAAGUUGGAUUUUGAAAAAAGUUUAUCGAUUGACGGGAAAAAUCAAAUUAAAAAGAGCAAGGAUUAGCUGGGGUUGUGUGUGUGAGGGUAUAUUGUAUUUCCGUGUGCUGCCCCUGGCGGGGCCGUUAGAUUAGAUUGAAUAUAUGGCUAAGAUUAGUUCUCAUAUCUCACAUAGGUAUGUGGUUUCCAAUUGAGCACCUGCAUAUAUAUAUAUGCAUAUAUUCAUACACAAAUAUGUUGUAACUAAUAUAAUUUUAUUUAAAAUUUUAUCAUAAUUGAAUUUUGACGGAACCCUUGUUCAAGAAAUAAGAUAGACACUAAUUCAUCUUUUGAAUAAUACCCAUUCAAAUCAUGAUUAUUUAAAUUCAUUUUUUCAUCUUUAACUAUGUCUUUAAAAAAUGUCAAUAUAAACUUCAUUGUCGAAAUUUGCUAGAAAGAUGGGAAUGGUAGGAAAAAAGAAUUCAAUAGUAUUAUUUUUUUUCCAAAAUAUAUCUGUUCUUAUAUUGGUAAAACAUAUUUAACACACCAAUUCUUAUUUUUACAUAAAACUUUAAAUAAUAAGAUGCUCUCAGACUCCACCUAAUUAUUUUCGAAAUUCACAAUUGCCACUAUUAUUGUUUAUCAUUAAUGGUGCAUAAUAUUAUCCAACAGGUUGAGCCAAGCACAUGGCUGAUCCAAUGGUGCCUGUCAACCUCCACAAACAAAUAUUAUUUAUCAAUUAAUAUAAUUAUCGAUUUGUUUGGGGCAUAUAUUAAACACUAAUAUAUUGUUUGGGAUUGUUGUUACAUGCACUAACAACAGCUUUUUGCCCUGGAAGUAGUUGAAAAACUGUUUGACAAACGUAAAAAUAGUUUUGCUAAACAACUUUUUAUAACUCAAAGCCGAAAGCUAUCAUAGAUUUCACUGUCAAAACUCUUCAAAAAUAUUAUUUUUUAUAUUAUAACUCAAAAUAUGCAAAUAUCAAAAAAAAAAUUGUCAAACCGCGAUCUCAUUUCUACAACUACACUUAUUCUGACAGCACAACAACUUUUAACAGCACUCCCAAACAACCCUUAAAUUCUAUACAUUUAGCUUAUUUUGACUGAUUUAGUGUUUGUACAUGUAGGGAUCCACCAUUAUUAAGAAGUGACAACCAAUCAAAAUAAGUUAAACUUAUAAAAUGCAGUGGACACACACUGAAAAAAACGUAUAAUAAUUAUCAUAAUAAACAUUCGUGCUCUUAUCACACAUUGCUAUUUGUUGUCCAGUCACUGAUUCUUGUUAAACAUAAUACCCGCUUACUUAAUAUGAUUAUCACAUUUGAAUUUAAUUACUUUUAGCUUAGUAGUAAAAAAUAAUUUUGGUGUUGGUUCACCUUGUUGAUCAUGAUAAUUUUGUUAAAAUUAAUUUUUAGUUUGAUUAAAAUAAUUCAAAAUUCUGUAUACCAGAACAUGAUUGUGUGUCUGUGAAUUGGUGUUUGACUUACAUAGUGGCCAGCAUUAAGGAUUCAGUAGAAGUGUAAAUUCCUCAAGGACUUGAUGAACCCCUUUGUACCUUUCUCACCCCCACAGUACAAUGGACUUCUGUUCAUGCUUAAAAAAGUCUGUAGGCCUUCCCGCCUGAGAGUCCAGAGUAGUGAAGGAACAAAUCAUUUGGUGCAUGCAAAUGACUAAAUGAGUGCAUGCUAAGAGAGAUGACUUGCACAUGUAGGUACUGUCUAUCAAAAACUAGUGUCCCUUACUUUAGCUACCCAUGCUUCAGUUCCUUUGGUUGAACAGAUGAGAUCAAGCUACAACAUCCAACCAAACCAUAUCAUAAGCCGCGGACAAAAUUAAGGGCAUGGUGCCACAAUUACGGACAAAUUUUAAGCUAAUUUGAGGCGGGGACUGGGAAUUCUUGGAGAAAAAUCCUUACUUGUCCGCUGUAAUUUGUCACAUUGACUCCUUUUGCUAAAAGCUCAUCGACCUGUAUGCAACUUAAACGAAUAAACUGAGUGAUGGUUGAAUAGGUAAUUGCCUUGAUGUAGGAUUGGCAAACUUAAAAUGUCAGAAAAUAUGAAAAUUCAGUUCAAGAACAUAUGUGCACGUUUAGUACUAUUUUCCGAGUUCUAACUGAAUCCUGAUAAAACUAUAGAAUCUUUGAAGAUAUUGGCAUACCUCAUUGAUCCUUGGCUUCAUAAAAUUCUUAUGCAAGAGCAAUGAAAACAGAUCCUGCUUGCCCUCCCCAUCUGCGAAAAAGGAGGGGAAACCCCUUUGCUUACUUGCAGCAAAAAAAAAAGUGAUUCGCUAGUUCCAUAUAAAGGGGAGAAAAGAACUCACCGCACAUCUUCUCGGAUUAUCUUAUGUUUUCUCUAAGAACGCCAUUCAUUAAAGUGUUUAGAUCAGCUUCACCGCCUGGCACAGACCUCAAAGAAGCCAAAUAUCUUGAGUUUCCUUUCGACUUGACUUUUUGAGAUAGUUCAACAGCUCUUGUCGAGAGAGGAUCAAGUGCAGAAUCCAAGAGGAAAUUGCAGAAAUCCUAAAUAUCCAGCAUAAAGCGGUGAAGUUUAUAGAAGUAAUAUAUUAGACCACUACAGAAGCAUAAGAAUACGCAAUGCAGAGGAAAAUAAAGUACCACAGAAUUACUGUAACCUCCUCAAGUUCAAUCCAUGAAUUAGUUGCAGCUUCAUACUCUCCCUGAUCGAUGUGCUGCUUGGAUUUCUGAGUACGACUGGUGUCCAAAAUAUUUCAGUGCAGAACAUAUAACUAACUCUAUAUAUAUUGCAGAAAACAUUAACAGACUAAACAGAAAUUAAUGAAGUUCAAGUAGACAUUUAUUCUCACUUGUUAGCUUUCUCUAUGCCUUUAUUGUCAAGCCUCAAAACAACUCUAAGAAGAGGAGCCCAUGAAAACUGCAAGUACCAAAUUGACUGAGUAAGAGUUCAAUGCAAUAAUAAGAACAGAUCAGUCAUUUAUUCAAAAAAAAAAAAAGGACAGAUCAUUCAAGAAAAUGCAAAAAUAGAGAAUAAGCAAUAAUAUUCAAAGAAUCAACACUAACUCUGAUCAGAUUAGGCAUUUGAUAUGCAAAAAAGAAAAAGAAAACUAUUAAUUGAUGUUUGCGCAUUAAUGCAUAAUCGUGAGAACCACAAGAAUCAGGGAUAAUGUAGUGACCAAACGUACAAUAUCCCUCAAGCAAGAUAAUUAGCAGAGUGAAUAAGAAAACAGUGCUAUUUGGCAAGACGGAAUCAAGAAAAGAUAACAAAAGAAUGAUCAGCCUUCCAAUCCUUUUAACAUUCGGGGAGCACAUAUGUCUCAAGUUUCAAUACACUGAGAAAAGAACACCAGUCCUGAUUCCCCAAAAGUUUACAAAUCUUGUAUAACAUGUUUAAACUUAUACAAAUCAUGUUCAAAACAAUGAAUUGUCCCUGCUCGGACUUGGUUGAAAACAAGAUAUUCUUUAUCCAACAGGUUGUUCGUACCAUUCCUCCAAAAUUCCUCUACAAAAUCGUCGUCAUAUAUUGCCUGUUGCCAAUCCACGCCAACAGUUCUACAUCUUCUAUCAAGUUCGUCUAAAAAGAAAAGAGCUACAGAAGUCAUCCUAAGGUAUCUUCGCACUGAAGAAUAUCCUGAUGGGUCUUCCCAAGUAUCUCUGAGCUCCCUGUAGGUGUCCAUAAACAAUUCUUUAUUCUUGACCAGUUUUUCCACUGCUUUGAUAUGAUGAGCACGUGAGACAAGAUAUUCGAUGAACCCGAAUACGAGGCUAGAUUCUCCACAUUUGGUAAAGUACCUAAUAUAACUUUUUAGGAAUAUAUCCAUCUUAAUGAAGUCAUGAUGGCUUCCCUUGGACAAAAACAAUUUCACGAGCUGGUAAUGAACCAAUCUUGUCUGCGGAAAUCUACCAGCAGAUAAAUUUUCCGGCAAAAAGUAGGUCAAGAAAGAACAAGCUUUAUGGUCAGAACCGGGAACAUCUGUGGCAAGAACAGAUUUAAUGUCACUAAGUUUUAAAUCAUCACAAGGAUGGCCAUCCCAUUCGACUUUUAGCCAUUCACUA
rnacentral:lncRNA from 1 species